rnacentral:rRNA from 1 species
UACGUAGGGUGCGAGCGUUAAUCGGAAUUAUUGGGCGUAAAGCGUGCGCAGGCGGUUCGUUGUGUCGGCGGUGAAAGCCCCGGGCUCAACCUGGGAAUUGCAUUCGAGACUGCGUAGCUAGGGUGCGGAAGAGGGAAGCGGAAUUUCCGGUGUAGCGGUGAAAUGCGUAGAUAUCGGAAGGAACACCAGUGGCGAAAGCGGCUUCCUGGUCCAGCACCGACAUUCAGGCACGAAAGCGUGGGGAGCAAACAGG